GACGAACGCUGGCGGCGUGCUUAACACAUGCAAGUCGAACGGUGAAGCGCCUUCCUUUUUGGUGGGUGUGGAUGAGUGGCGAACGGGUGAGUAACACGUGAGUAACCUGCCCCCUUCUUCUGGAUAACCGCAUGAAAGUGUGGCUAAUACGGGAUAUUCUGGGUCUGUCGCAUGAUGGGUCUGGGAAAGAUAUUGUUUCGGUGGGGGAUGGGCUCGCGGCCUAUCAGCUUGUUGGUGGGGUGAUGGCCUACCAAGGCGGUGACGGGUAGCCGGCCUGAGAGGGUGGACGGUCACACUGGGACUGAGACACGGCGCAGACUCCUACGGGAGGCAGCAGUGGGGAAUAUUGCACAAUGGGCGCAAGCCUGAUGCAGCGACGCCGCGUGAGGGAUGGAGGCCUUCGGGUUGUGAACCUCUUUCGCCAGUGAAGCAGGCCUGCCUCGUUUGUGGGUGGGUUGACGGUAGCUGAAGAAGAAGCGCCGGCUAACUACGUG
rnacentral:rRNA from 1 species